UCCGGUUUGGCACCGGCAUUCUCCCAUGAGUCCCCGACAUAACUCGCUGGCAACAUGGGACAGGGGUUGCGCUCGUUGCGCCACUUAAGGCAACACCUCACGGCACGAGCUGACGACAGCCAUGCACCACCUGUGCAGGCUCCGAAGAGCACCCGCUUUCGCGGGUUUUACCCUGCAUGUCAAGCCCAGGUAAGGUUCUUCGCGUUGCGUCGAAUUAAACAACAUGCUCCACCGCUUGUGCGGGCCCCCGUCAAUUUCUUUGAGUUUUAGUCUUGCGACCGUACUCCCCAGGCGGAGUGCUUAACGCGUUAGCUUCGGCACCACGAGGGUCAAAGCCCGUGACACCUAGCACUCAUCGUUUACGGCGUGGACUAC
rnacentral:misc_RNA from 1 species